AAGGAUUUAAGUUAAAUAAACUACCAACCUUCAAAGUUGUCAAUAAGAAAUCCGUCUUAAGCCUUG
rnacentral:tRNA from 1 species